GACAGAGGGUGCAACGUUGCUCGGAAUCACUGGGCGUAAAGGGCGUGUAGGCGGGUAGAUAAGUCGGGCGUGAAAUCCCUAGGCUCAACCUAGGAACUGCACUCGAAACUGUUUAUCUUGAGUGCCGGAGAGGAAAGCGGAAUUCCUGGUGUAGAGGUGAAAUUCGUAGAUAUCAGGAGGAACACCAGUGGCGAAGGCGGCUU
rnacentral:rRNA from 1 species